rnacentral:rRNA from 1 species
CCCGGCGAGGGGAGUGAAAAAGAACCUGAAACCGUGUACGUACAAGCAGUGGGAGCCUCUUUAUGGGGUGACUGCGUACCUUUUGUAUAAUGGGUCAGCGACUUAUAUUCUGUAGCAAGGUUAACCGAAUAGGGGAGCCGAAGGGAAACCGAGUCUUAACUGGGCGUUAAGUUGCAGGGUAUAGACCCGAAACCCGGUGAUCUAGCCAUGGGCAGGUUGAAGGUUGGGUAACACUAACUGGAGGACCGAACCGACUAAUGUUGAAAAAUUAGCGGAUGACUUGUGGCUGGGGGUGAAAGGCCAAUCAAACCGGGAGAUAGCUGGUUCUCCCCGAAAGCUAUUUAGGUAGCGCCUCGUGAAUUCAUCUCCGGGGGUAGAGCACUGUUUCGGCAAGGGGGUCAUCCCGACUUACCAACCCGAUGCAAACUGCGAAUACCGGAGAAUGUUAUCACGGGAGACACACGGCGGGUGCUAACGUCCGUCGUGAAGAGGGAAACAACCCAGACCGCCAGCUAAGGUCCCAAAGUCAUGGUUAAGUGGGAAACGAUGUGGGAAGGCCCAGACAGCCAGGAUGUUGGCUUAGAAGCAGCCAUCAUUUAAAGAAAGCGUAAUAGCUCACUGGUCGAGUCGGCCUGCGCGGAAGAUGUAACGGGGCUAAACCAUG